rnacentral:rRNA from 1 species
CCUACGGGUGGCAGCAGUGAGGAAUAUUGGUCAAUGGGCGAGAGCCUGAACCAGCCAAGUCGCGUGAGGGAAGACGGUCCUAUGGAUUGUAAACCUCUUUUGUCGGGGAGCAAAAACGCCCCGUGAUGCCACAAGUGAGAGUCCCUGAAGAAAAAGCAUCGGACAACUCCGUGCCAGCAGCCGCGGUAAUACGGAGGAUGCGAGCGUUAUCCGGAUUCAUUGGGUUUAAAGGGUGCGUAGGCGGACUGGAAAGCCAGCGGUAAAAUCGAGAGGCUCAACCUCGUUCCGCCGUUGAAACUGUCAGUCUUGAGUGGGCGAGAAGUAUGCAGAAUGCGUGGUGUAGCAGUGAAAUGCAUAGAUAUCACGCAGAACUCCGAUUGCGAAGGCAGCAUACCGGCGCCCGACUGACGCUGAGGCACGAAAGCGUGGGUAUCGAACAGGAUUAGAUACCCUUGUAGUC